CCUACGGGAGGCAGCAGUGGGGAAUUUUCCGCAAUGGGCGCAAGCCUGACGGAGCAAUACCGCGUGAGGGAGGAAGGCUCUUGGGUCGUAAACCUCUUUUCUUAGGGAAGAACACAAUGACGGUACCUAAGGAAUAAGCAUCGGCUAACUCCGUGCCAGCAGCCGCGGUAAUACGGAGGAUGCAAGCGUUAUCCGGAAUGAUUGGGCGUAAAGCGUCCGUAGGUGGUUUGUCAAGUCUGUGGUUAAAGCGCGAAGCUCAACUUCGUAAGGGCCAUGGAAACUGACAGACUAGAGUGAAGUAGGGGUAGAGGGAAUUCCCAGUGUAGCGGUGAAAUGCGUAGAGAUUGGGAAGAACACCGGUGGCGAAAGCGCUCUACUGGACUUAUACUGACACUGAGGGACGAAAGCUAGGGGAGCGAAAGGGAUUAGAUACCCCGGUAGUC
rnacentral:rRNA from 1 species